CAAUAAUGCAUUAUCUUUAAUACGAUAUAAAUGUACAUAUGUAAUCACCUAUUUAUAUAUUAUUAUUACAAUGAAUAAUGAGGUAAUAUGGUCAGGAGGAUAUCUUGAUGUUAAGAUGAUGAUCGCUAAGUCCAGAGGAUAUAUUGAUGAUAUGAUGAUGCCUGAUAGGUCUGGAAGAUAUAUUAAUAUUUUGAUGAUGUCGGGCAUGUAUAGAGGAUAUAUUGACAUUAUGAUGAUAUCCAACACGGGGGUAUUAAACAGCAUAGGAAAAAGCUUCACUGGCUCCUUUAUCCAUAAGAAUGUAAUAAAGUUUCUCUUCGGUCUUCCUAAAAAAGACUUUCUGAUACAGGCCCUACCAUGUAUACAGUCUGUGGACCCAUGCUUAGAUAUGGUGUAAAGCUCAUAUCCUCUUCCUCUUUCUUGAAAAUAAACUAUACAUGAUAAAUGGAAAAAAAACUUCAAUAUCAUUGAAAAUGUAGUUUUAGUAUGCACCAAUGGAGGAUAUAUUGAUGUUCUGAUGAUGCCUAGCAAGUCUGGAGGAUAUAUAGAUAUUAAGAUGACAGAAGACAAGUCCAUAGGAUAUAUUGAUUCAAUGUAUGGUUAAUGUGCAUAUAUAUAUGCAUAUGUAUGGUUAUGCCAUUAUAUAAUUACAUUUAUAUGUGCAUUAUUAUUAUGAUUUUAUCCUAAGAAUGUCAGUUAUAGUUCUCUAA